GAGAGAGAGAGAGAGAGAGAGAGAGAGAGAGAGAGAGAGAGAGAGAGAGAGAGAGAGAGAGAGAGAGAGAGAGAGAGAGAGAGAGAGAGAGAGAGAAUAAACAAUUGAAGGACCAUUUAUGUAUGCAUGAUGAUGAUGAUGAUGAUAUUGAUGAUGCUGAUGAUGACGAUGACGUUUAUUUGUCGCCUAAUUUAUUUUAUUUAUUAAACUCAUUACGUAGUUUUAUACAAAGGGCGCGCCGCCACUCCCACCUACCCACCCACCCACCAGCCCUCCUGUGUUUGGGGGGCGGGGGAUGGGGGUGGUGGGGGGCGAGGAGGCGCCUUCACCGUGACAGAGAUUAAACAAGAAAAUAAGAAAAUAUCCGUGA